rnacentral:rRNA from 1 species
UACGGAGGGUGCGAGCGUUGUCCGGAAUCACUGGGCGUAAAGGGCGCGUAGGUGGCCCGUCAAGCGCGCGGUGAAAGCCCGGGGCUCAACCCCGGGUCGGCCGUGCGGACUGGCGGGCUCGAGCACUGUAGGGGCGGGUGGAAUUCCGGGUGUAGCGGUGGAAUGCGUAGAGAUCCGGAAGAACACCGGUGGCGAAGGCGGCCCGCUGGGGCAGGAAGACGGGCGCAAGCCCGUCGGCUGACACUGAGGCGCGACAGCGUGGGGGAGCAAACAGG